UGAUAAUUUUCAACAUCUGAGCGUGAGCAUUUGGGGUAGGCACCUGAAAUGAUGAGCAGGUGGCAGGAGAGAGGAAUGCUGCUAUAAGAAAAAACUUUGUGGACUUGCUCACGUCAGCAUGAGCACACCUCCUCUCCAAGCUCCCUUUGUAGGUAAUGAAAACCAGAGAGGAGCAUGCUGGCUCACCCAGUAGGGGGAUUACUGUUGCCACUCUCAGCAGGUGUACGUGCUUAAGCCUCAUGUCUCACUUACCCAUGGCAGUGCCUUGGCUUUAGUUGUGGACUCUUGUGACCCUCCAUUAAGUGCCCCCAGGUGUGUGUGGUGCAGAAAGACUUGACAUCAAGCUCAGUGUUGCUAAGGCUUAUUGGCCAAGUGCUGCUGGCACAGGUGGGGUGCUUCUGUGCCCUGAGCCAGGGUGGGUGCCUUCAUUGGGGCUGACCUCAGGGGAGCUGGGCGUCUGCUCCUCUUGGGACAUGGAGGGCAGGAGGCAAGGAGAGAAGAAAGCGUGCCUUUUCUUAAGGUGUCUGCACAAAGCCAGAGUUCAUCAAGAGUUUUCAAGGAGCUCCCGUAUCACUUACUUCCAGUUUCAGAAGCUUUGUGACCAAGCGAAGCUGAGUGCUGGAGGAGUCUGA
rnacentral:lncRNA from 1 species